CUCAGGGAGGUAGUGACAAGAAAUAACAACACUGGAAAUUUUAUUUCUAGUGAUUGGAAUGAUGGGAAUUUAAACCCCUUUCAGAGUAACAAUUGGAGGGCAAGUCUGGUGCCAGCAGCCGCGGUAAUUCCAGCUCCAAUAGCGUAUAUUAAAGUUGUUGCAGUUAAAAAGCUCGUAGUUGGAUGUCUGCUGGAAGCAAUCAGUCCGCCCUAUUUGUAGGGUGUGCACUUGAUGAAUUCUGGCAUUUCCGUCCCAAUGAUGUAACGGGGCGGUGGUACUCGGUGAAAGCCGAGUAUCCUGUUUUCCGAUUAUUGGGAUACUGUUACUUUGAGAAAAUUAGAGUGUUUGAAGCAGGCUAAUUGCCUUGAAUACUGCAGCAUGGAAUAACAAUAUAGGAUUUCGGUUCUAUUUUGUUGGUUUCUAGGACUGAAAUAAUGAUUAAUAGGGACAGUUGGGGGCAUUCGUAUUUAACUGUCAGAGGUGAAAUUCUUAGAUUUGUUAAAGACGAACUACUGCGAAAGCAUUUGCCAAAGAUGUUUUCAUUAAUCAAGAACGAAAGUUAGGGGCUCGAAGACGAUCAGAUACCGUCGUAGUCUUAACCAUAAACUAUGCCGACUAGAGAUAGGAAAAUGUCAUUUUGCUGACUU
rnacentral:rRNA from 1 species